AAAAUCGCAUAUCUCAGAAUUGGGGAGGAUCUUCCUUAUGCCAGAUCGAACAGUCAUAUGAGCAGCCGAGCUUCCUUCAGUCUUGUAAAAGACAGACGCCUUCUCCCUGUCCAAACCAGUCAUACACAUCUCAAGAGUGUAAACAGGGUCAUUAGACUGAAUAGGUCCUGCGGAGGCAGAGUAAACAUGCCAUUUCUGUGCUUUGUCAGGACUGCCCAUAAUCACAGCCUUGCUACCAGCAGCAAGCUUUCCAAAAUAGCCAUCAAGGACAGCAACUUCUUCAGAAAAGUGACGGUGAGGAAACGACUGAGCACCAGGGAAAAUGAAGCUCCCACGGGUAUACCUCACGUCUUGUACUUUGAGAGACAGGCUCUCAGCCAACUUUAGAAUGGGCGGAAUUGCGAGAAGCAACUUAGUGGUGCCACAGGUUUUGAUGAUUAUCUUGUAAGAAUAAACGAAGAGGCUCGACUCGGAGAGGACAUAGGAAUCAACAUCGUCAUUUGAUAGGGAAUCAACAAUGGUGCACUCAGCAGGUCCGAGAAUUUCAUCCAAUUGUGCCUUUGAGAGAGAUCGAAGUCCUUUUCCGUUAGGAUCAGCAAACAGACCAGGCUCGAAGAACGAAAUUUCAAGCCUCUUCUCGAAACCUUCAAAACCAAUGGCGGAGACCGGCAAGGCCAUAUCCAUGAUGAAAAAUGUUCACAGCAGCAAAAGAAGUUAAAAGAGGAAAAUGUUCCGAGCAAUGAGCACAAAAGCAGAAAGUAGUAAAAGAAGGAAGAAAAGGAGUGAGGGCGCAAAAGAAACUGAAAGCAGAAAUUUUUUUUUGUUUUUUUUUUUGGGUUGCGUCUAUUGACGCGUUAAGGACGGAAGGU
rnacentral:lncRNA from 1 species